CCUACGGGAGGCAGCAGUGGGGAAUAUUGCACAAUGGGGGAAACCCUGAUGCAGCGACGCCGCGUGAGUGAAGAAGUAUCUCGGUAUGUAAAGCUCUAUCAGCAGGGAAGAAAUAAAGUCCUUCGGACUUUGGACGGUACCUGACUAAGAAGCCUCGGCUAACUACGUGCCAGCAGCCGCGGUAAUACGUAGGGGGCAAGCGUUAUCCGGAUUUACCGGGCGUAAGGGGAGUGUAGACGGCUGCGCAAGUCUGGAGUGAAAUCCCAGGGCUUAACCAUGGAACGGCAUAGGAUACUGUGCGACUAGAGUGAAGGAGGGGGAAGCGGAAUUCCUAGUGUAGCAGUGAAAUGCGUAGAUAUUGAGAGGAACACUAGUGGCGAAGGCGGGUUACUGGACUUUAACUGACGUUGAGGCACGAAGGCGUGGGGAGCGAAAGGGAUUAGAUACCCGAGUAGUC
rnacentral:rRNA from 1 species